AUUGGAAAUUUUAAAAUCAUAAUUUACGGAACUAUCAGAUUUUAGAGAUAACUUAGUUUUUGAUUGCAGUUAUUCAACUCCUAUGGCCAUUGCGAACUGCAAUUGACUUAAUCUUACAUCUUUGUUGAUGUAUAUCCAGUCGUUGACUGUUGGUGCUCGUAUUGACUGACGUUUCGACAUUCUUUGCGGUAGUCACUUUUAGAAAAGUUGUCAAUUUUCAUCUGUGAUAUAUUUAUUUCAUAGUUGCUAUAGUCUUUGUGUCCUAGCUCCAAACCUGGGGAGAGGUUUGUCAUUCAUAUUACGUAAAGUCUUGUUCUUAUCCAAAACUCACAUAGCCACAAUCACCCUCACCACCAUUAUCUUUAUCACAUUAACCC